UGUACAGUCGCUUUCUCUUCCUCUUCCGUGUUGUGGCAGUGCCGGAGAAUCGGUGAAGCUCAGGAGGGAUAGCGCCGUUUCAAACCUUUCUUUUUUUUGGAGGUGGCGCUAUCCAUCCUGAGUUUCAUGGCUUCUUCGUACUUUAUGAUAUGUGUGUCCUCUCGAUUUGCCCCCUUGUCGUCGGUCGGCAUCGCUCAACAAGCCGCAUCUUCUGUGUAAUUUGACUGUGCGGCUUCCCCUUUUUCUCUCGUGAUUUUAUGAUCCCAGCAGUUGAUGUAUAGAUACCUCAUGUGUGCUCUUCCUCUCUUAUCAGGGGUUAGGGUUCAGGGCAACUGAUUUGCUUCUUCGUUUCUAUUUUUCUAUCUUUUUGGUACUGAGUCUUCAGUCUUCUUGGAGGCUGCGAAGCGAUCGGCUUCACUUGAGAGAAGAUCGAGAGGCCAGGUUGACUUGGGAGUACAGGAAGUUGCCAUCAUGCUAAUCAUUUCGUAAAUGGUGAAUCUGUGUUCAUUUGUGUUCUUAACUCUCUCUCUCUCUCUCUCUCUCUCUCCCUCUCUCAUUCUUAUGACUCUUGCCAGCUUCAUGUCUUAGCUUGUUUUACAUGCAUCUUCUCUAGUCAUACGGAUGGCGUUAAUCAAUUUGGACCCAUUUCAAGGGCUUAGCGAUAUGCCCUCCCAGAUGGAUGAGUAAGUUUUACUCCUUCCUUCGUACCCAGGGAUCUCUCUCGAAAAGAAGAAACCUUCACAGUGCUAGUGCUUUACUUUUCUGUGGGUGUAUCUUAUCCCAAUAACCUCCUCGCUACUUUGUUUUUAGUUACUGCUCAAAGAACGUCUGAAUUGGUUCCGAAACUAUGGAUUACUACUCCAUCUCAAGCUAAAUCUUUACUUCAUAAUCUAUGCAUGUUCCAUAUCUAUUGUUUUCGAGCCAGAUGCACCUACUAUUCUUUUUGUUCUCUAACAAGGUUAGCUUUUGAGAUGAUCGGCCUCUUUCUGUUCCCCCAGCUUCUUUUUCAAGCGAGGACAUUAUAUGUCGACAUAAGAUCCUUUACAAUCAGUGAGUUCAGUUUGGGCAAGUGUUUGGAUCUCUUCUCAGGCUGAGCUGGUUGGGCUGCUGGUAUGACUAGACCUCGAAACCCUAGCCUUCAGCUGAAGAAGCUGAAUUGGAAGUUGCAGGGUUAGGGUUUCAACUGUGCUUGAGUUAAUACUGUUGCAGGCGUUUUCAAUGAAAGAUACUAAUUGCGGAUGUUGACUCGUUCCGACUACGUUCAAGUCAUCCACUGUAAAAGCUAUAUUUUUUUUUUUUUUAAAUGUGUUGAUCCGUGUACACACCUAUCAUGAUGACGACCAUCAUGGCCGCAUUGAAAGCCAAAUCUUUGUAAAUUCAUACCGUUCCAUCACGUAUAUAGAGACUGUAAGACUAAAGUAGAUGAAGAGCUCCUUGAUUUGUUUA